UGUAACAGUUCUUAGGCCAGUGUAAAUUGCUAUCUUACGACAUGUUUUGCGAGGUAGUUAGCAGGAGCAAGAAAAAAUAUUGAAAUACACAGCGAUAUCGAUACGAGUGUAAAGAAAAUGAGUUUUAAAUAACUGGAACGAUGGUCACGUUAUCGUUAUGGAAAAUUUUAUGAUCGUGAAUUGUAGAAGAGGAAUAUUGAAUUUUAGUAUUUUCGAUGAAUGCGAAAUAUAAUAAGUGCUAUGUUGUCGCAAAUCAAUCAUAUAGAAUCAAAGAUAUGAUUAGAGCGAAAAUCAUAUUACGUAGUUAAAUUCUGACGAUCUUAGUGAUAUUGAACGCUGUUACGUCACAUAACACUCGAGUACUCACUUUACGUAACAAGAAGGAACAUGUUACUUAUAAAUCGAAAAUCUAAGGAAGGUUAA